UACGGGGGGGGCAAGCGUUGUUCGGAAUUACUGGGCGUAAAGCGCACGUAGGCGGCUUUGUAAGUUAGAGGUGAAAGCCCGGGGCUCAACCCCGGAAUUGCCUUUAAGACUGCAUCGCUUGAAUCCAGGAGAGGUGAGUGGAAUUCCGAGUGUAGAGGUGAAAUUCGUAGAUAUUCGGAAGAACACCAGUGGCGAAGGCGGCUCACUGGACUGGUAUUGACGCUGAGGUGGCGAAAGCGUGGGGAGCAAACAGG
rnacentral:rRNA from 1 species